UCAUUCAAAACCCUGUAAUUUGAGGUGCUACAUGAUAAGAUUCGACAUAUCAGGCAAAUAAUAAACGAUAAUGUGUCAAAAAGGCGUUAUACAUGACAUGUUGUUAAAACCGACAUCACAACGUAAUUUGUCAUUCAAAACCCUGUAAUUUGAGGUGCUACAUGAUAAGAUUCGACAUAUCAGGCAAAUAAUAAACGAUAAUGUGUCCAAAGGGCGUUAUACAUGACAUGGCGUUAAAACAGACACCGCAACGUAAUUCAUCAUUCAAAAUCCUUUAAUUUGAUGGGUCACACAUUGAUUUCUGAUUAUCCGUUCCGAAGAUACAUGGUACAUUGCCAUAACGGCCUAAGGGAUAACUUGGUUGAGCUGUAAAUGCUUAUUUAUUGUUAUUGACGUUAAAACAAAGCCAUUAGCAUAGAAAAAUCUCGUAUCGCAGUUUGAUCUCUAGCAAAUCCUAAUUCGCUCAAUUUUGCACCAAGUGCUCCGUGCAAUAUAUCAUUAGAAAGGUCUUUUCAUACAUAUUAAGAAAAUCACUGACCAAGUGUGUUACGGUCAUUAUUUAUGGCUGAAAACGACAAAAAACUACAAAUUCUCAAUGUACUAUAUUGACACAAAAUGUACUUAUAUGGUACAAAAAAAAGGCCUUAUACAGAACAUUGUGUUAAAACAGACAUCACAACGUAAUUCGUCAUUCAAAAUCCUUUAAUUUGAUGGGUCAUACAUUGAUUUCUGAUUAUCCGUUCCAAAGAUACAAAUAUUUGUACAAAAUUAUGAAAAAUCGAAUAAUUUGAAAUAUUUACAAAAAUAUUUUAAGUUGUUUGUUAACAUGCCGGGUGUGUAUGGUUGAUAAGAAAAGAGUGCAGACGUUAUUUUUGUUAAUAUUAACCUCCAAAGAUAUGACAAGCCACAAUGCUAAAAGUCCGGAUGUAGUCGGAUGAGAACAUGUAACCGCAGUUGUUAUUUGUGUAAAUGUUAUCACAUAUUUUUAAAACUAUAAGGUCUUGUUUUUGCAAAACACAUUCAAACAUUUGAUCACGUUCAUGCUGUGUGAAUUUCGCCUAUAAAUACUGAAACAGACGAGCAUAUACCACAGUCGACAUCUGACAGUUUCUACAGUAUAGUUGCAGUGUUCAGUGGAAAAUAUUCAAUUAAGAUAUUCCUAGCGUUCAGACGUGUGCUCUGGUGAGUUUUAUAUCGUUCAGAAGUGUGCUCUGUUGAGUGACAAACUUUGAAUAUUUUUGAUUUUGUCGAAAACAAUUUUUUGAAAUUUUUAAAACAUAUUUAGAGUUUGGGUUCUAAAUUUUUGAAUUCUAAGUUUUGAAUAUGUAUUAUUUUAUUACUUAGUGGUGUUUGAUUUGGUCAGUAUUUUUUAAUAAUUUCUCAUCCUUUAAUAACGAAAACAUGAACAAAUUCUUAGUCACUAAAGAUACUUUUAAGAAAAUCCGUAGAUUUGGCCUCCAGGGACGAACUCUGGAAUUUAAAAUCAGGGAUGUGCCGCAGAGUGAGGAACCUGUGGGAUGGGUAAAAAAGGCCAUCGAGGGGAUUGUGCUUAAGGGAACAGAAGGUUUGGAACCAACCGAUCAGGUCGGUUUCACUUUUUGCUCGAAAGACUUUGCCAGAGGUCAGGGUUGGAUGCGGUUCAAACCUGCCUCUGAAGUGACCGUUGAUGAUAUAUGGGAUAAGAUUAGUUCCAUUUAUCAGUCAAAUUCUGCAGGCCUCAAUACCGAGACAUUUUGUUUGGGUAUUACGACGGUGCGUUUGCCUACAGGUAAAGGUCGUGGUUACAACUAUAACUCUUUCACCGAAGAGUGUGCCCGUAGGAAAGGAAUUAUUGUUAUUAAAAACAAGGAUAAUCUUUGUUUACCUCGUGCUCUUGUGGUUGCAAAAGCUCACGUAGAUAAGGACCAAGAAUGGAAGAAGGUACGUCAAGAUGUUGGAAAAAUACAAGGACAAAGAGCCCAUCAACUGAUUGAAGCCGCUAAUGUAACAAUUCCUGUCGGAGGGGCAGGAAUACCCGAACUACAACAGUUUCAGGGACACCUCACAGAUUACAAAAUUGUGGUGUAUAGUUAUGGUAGCAAGGGUCGUGACGUUAUGUUCUGUGGUAACACUAAUGGUCCAGCGUUAAAUCUUUUGUAUCAUGAAGGACACUUUAACGUGAUCACUUCUUUGACAGCUGCUUUUUGCUGUCGAUAUUAUUGUGAGGAGUGCCACCAGCCGUUUAACAACAAAAACGACCACAGAUGUGGUGGUACAUGUUUUGCUUGUCGUCGUUCACCAGCUUGUUCCAAAGAUUGCGUGAAAAUACCCUGCGAUCAAUGUGGUCGAAACUUCUACGGUAAGGCAUGUUUCAAUGCUCAUGUUGGUUCGGUCUGUGAGAAAAUCAAAAGGUGUAAGACCUGUUACAAGAUCUACACCAAAAGUCAUGUCUGUGGUGAGGUCUUCUGUAAAACUUGUAAGAAAAAUUGUCCGUCAGAUCAUCUUUGUUACAUACAGCCCGAUUCUGGUAGGCCACCGUCAAAAGAUUUUCUAUUUAUAUUUUAUGAUUUGGAAACUCGUCAAGAAACGGUAAUGCCUGAUGGUUCACUUCUUCAAGAACCUAACCUGUGUGUUUUUAAACAGUGCUGCGACAAAUGUUUGGAAUCCGAUACCCGCAUGUGUACACAAUGUGGUGUUCAUCUGCAAGUUUUAAAAAACAACCCUAUUGAACGGUUUAUGGAGUUUGUACUUAAUCAACGUAAGUUAUUCAAAAGAGUCGUUGUUAUGGCCCAUAACGGUGGUGGCUUCGACCAUCAGUUUGUGUUAAAUUAUAUUCUAACAAAGACUGAUAUUACUCCCGAUUUGAUUAUGCGUGGUACAAAGUUGGUGUCAAUGGCUGUUGGUAACGCUCGUUUUCUUGAUAGUCUUAAUUACUUUCCAAUGGCGUUGUCUGCUCUACCUAAAGCUUUUGGGUUGACAGAGUUGAAAAAGGGAUAUUUUCCACAUUUGUUUAACAGAGAGGAAAAUCAAUCUUAUGUUGGACCUAUGCCUGAUCUUAAAUUUUACGAUCCCGAUAAUUUAAAAGAUGAUGCACGUGACAAGCUGAUCGCGUGGCACGCUGAAAGAGUAGAUGAGGGAUACGUUUUUGAUUUUCAAAAGGAAAUUGUUGAAUAUUGUAUUAGCGAUGUUGAGAUUUUGACUAAGGCUUGUCUCACUUUCAGAAAACAGUUGAUGGAUACUUCAAAUGUCUGUCCGUUUUUCGAGGCAACAACUGUUGCAUCGACGUGUAACAAGGUAUUCAGGCGUAAUUUCUUACAACCAAACACAAUAGGCCUUAUUCCAAAAGGUGGCUAUCGAUUCAAAGAUAAUCAGUCGAAAAUAGCUUUGCAGUGGUUAUUGUGGGAAGAGAAGCAACGCUGUAUUAAAAUUCAGCAUGCUGCCAGAGGACCUGAAGCUCUUAUUGGAAAUUGUAGGGUAGACGGUCUUUACGAAAACACCAUCUUUGAUUUUCAAGGUUGUUAUUAUCACGGUUGUCCUACUUGUUACCCUACAGAUAGAACUGCACCCCUUCAUGACGAUCCUUCAGAUUGUAUGGAAAAUCGUCAUGAUAAAACAAUUGCUAAAGUUAAGCAUCUCAGAUCAAUAGGAUAUGAGGUGGUUGAAAUGUGGGAAUGUCAAUUCCGUAAAAUGCUGACGGCCGAGAUAAAGGCGUAUACCGAGGGGCAUCCUCUUAUGGCUAGUUUACCUUUGAAUCCUAGAGAUGCUUUAUAUGGUGGUCGUACAGGCAAUACUGUAGAGUAUUACAAGUGUAAAGAUGGUGAAAAAAUUAAAUACGUUGAUGUUUGUUCGCUUUAUCCGUGGGUAUGCAAGUACGGAAAGUUCCCAAUCGGACAUCCAAAGAAAAUAUAUAUUGGACAGGAAUGCACUGCUGUAGACAUUACUGAGUUAUCUGGAUUAAUAAAGUGUAAGGUGCUUCCUCCUACAAACCUCUAUCAUCCUGUUCUUCCUACCAAGAUGAACAGUAAAUGUAUGUUCGUUUUAUGCCGAAAGUGUGGAGAGGACUUUGCGGAAGAAGAGUGUGAGCAUUCGAAUGAUGAACGGGCUCUAACAGGUACUUGGGUGAUUGAGGAGGUAGUGAAAGCUUUAUCAAAGGGUUAUAAAAUAAUUGAGACCUAUGAGAUAUGGUCCUAUGAUACUUUACAGUUAUCGAAAUCUCAGAAAGGUCUUUUUUCCGAUAUGAUGAACAAAUUUAUCAAAGUGAAACAACAAGCUUCAGGGUGGCCGCGAGGAUGUGUAUCGGAUGAGGAAAAGAGCCGGUACAUCGAGGAGUUUCUUCAGAGGGAGGAUGUCAGGCUGGAGUUUUCCGACAUAACGGAGAACCCUGGUCUGAGGUCGUUGGCUAAGCUUAUGCUCAAUUCUUUCUGGGGUAAGUUCGCUCAGCGAGAGAACCUCCCUAAAACAUCCAUAAUAAACAAGUCUGGAGAAUUUUUUGCUAUGUUGAUUAAUCCAUCCAUUCAUGUUAAUACGGUGAUCCCUGUAAAUGAGGACACACUGGUUGUUACGUGGGAGUAUGUGGAGGAGGCGUACUCAAUGUCGUCAACAGUUAAUGUUGUUCUGGCAUCAUACGUAACGACUCUGGCUCGUCUCAAACUAUAUUCCUAUUUAGAUCGGGUUCGCAAAAGAGCUUAUUACUAUGACACAGAUUCCAUAAUAUACCUUUCUAAGCUUGGUUUGCCAAACCUUCCUACAGGUGAUUGCCUCGGUGAUCUAACAGAUGAGCUUGGUGGUGGAUAUAUUUCGGAGUUUGUUUCUGGAGGGCCUAAAAAUUACGCAUAUAAAUACACUUUGCCUAACGGUAAAGAAAAAAUUUGUUGUAAGGUUAAAGGUAUUUGUCUAAAUUAUGAGGCAUCUAAAUUAGUUAAUUUCGAUACCAUUAAGACGAUGGUACUUAUGAAGUCUGACCCUGUUUCUGUGGUGACUAAACAAAUACAAAGGACACAGGAUCAUUGUGUUAUCACAAAAACCCUUGAAAAAAAAUAUAGACCAAACUCAGCAAAAAGAAAAUUUUUUGAAGAUUUUACAUCCUUACCUUAUGGUUAUAAAAAACUUAAAAUUUAAACUAUGGCCCAGACUCAGCUUUUUUUAUUUUAUACACUAUACCUUUUUAACACUCACAAUCAACAUUUUUAAUUAGUAAGUUAUAUAUUAAUAGAUUACUUUUUGUUUUGUCAACAGUGGAUGCUUUUUCCUCUGCGAUACAACCGAUCGUCUGUCACACUGAAAAGUGGGUUACUAAAAAGUUGUAGUGAGUUGUCGUUUGUCCUACAUGAUUAAAAAAUCUUUAAAAGAUGUUCAGUUAAGACCAUUAAAAGAUAUCUGAUAUAGCCCACUGGCAAAUUAAUGAGCCGUUCUGGUUAACUCUAGAACCGUUGCUCGUGUAGCCGCUCAUUAUAAAAGAUGGCAAUCAGAUCAUAAAAAGAUGUCUGCUGAACCAUUUCCUGUAUGUUUAAAAAAGAUGUUCAGUUAAGGUCACUAAAAGAUAUUCGUUAUAAAAAUCGUACUAUAAAUAAUGUUAAUAAAAAGAUACCUGCUGAACCAUUUCCGGUAUUUUAAAAUACAAUAAACAGUUUUCGGCUAUGGACAAAUUUGUGAUUUUGUAACAUCAUUACAUCUUUGCUCGUUACUUACUAGAAGGUGGGGCAACAAUCGCUUGUUCUAUGCUAUCACAAAUAUAUAUAUUGCAUCAACAUCACAUUUGAUUCCUCUGAGGAAAUUUGGUGGUUGUAGGCCUCUAGGGGAUGGUGUCCACGAUAAAACACCAACGAGGUAUGUGUUGUACCUCAUGGGUGCCUUGGAAAUCAACACGAGUAACCUUUGUUUCAGAUUAUCCUUGAAAAAAUCAGCACGCAAUUUGGAGCUAUGUUAGCUUUAACGUGAAGACCUUUACGACAUGCUUUUUCUUUACGACAAUACUGUUAGAUAUGUCUUUAUACAUUAACAAAAGUUUUUUUUUUUCUACCUAGGUAUACUCUAAGUGUAUAUAAUUUUUUUCUCAAUAUAUCUGAUAUAUAAUACCUUUAAAUAUGGUCCUCCUUUUGGAGUAUAAAAAGGACGGUCGACUUUUAACCCAGCACGGAUGCACGCCUAUGUACCUUUACGAAGGGAAUUGUACAUAAACCUAUAAGCUGAUCGUAAUCCAUAUCUGCAAAGUAUGUUGUCAGCUUGGGUUAGUAUAUACAGUGCAUUCCGUAUGUUUUAUAAACAUGAUCAGAGGGAAAUUGUUGCCUGAUGGCUAUUAAAGAACCGUCUAUGACCCUCAUAUAUUCUUAUCGCAGAUGUUUAAUUUCAAACUGUAAAAAACAAUAAUAUUACCUGACUUUCCGUAGAUAAAAUAUUGAAUGCAACUAUUCAGUAAAUUACAUAAAAAUAAUACGCAUUUUUCUGAAAAGACUUGUGCAUGAAAUGUUUGCUGGUUUGGUCACAGCGUAAGAAUGGUAUAUGUUCAUUGUAGGAAUGUAUGCUUGGAGGGAGAUCGAGGAUGUUUGUUGGUCAUACUGUAAGAAUGGUAUAUGUUCAUUGUAGGAAUGUAUGAUUGGAGGGAGAUCGAGGAUGUUUGUUGGUCAUACUGUAAGAAUGGUAUAUGUUCAUUGUAGGAAUGUAUGAUUGAAACGAAGAUACGAUAUAGUGCCGUUUUGGCAAUGUCUUAUUCACGUCACGUCAUUCACGUUACGUCAUUCACGGUAAAAUAUAACGUUAAAGAGGUACACUGUUAGGAUGGUUUAAAGAUAAAUAGUCUAUACCAUUAGGGAAUAGAGUGUAGCAGAGACCAUUAGAGGCCAUUAGAAACCAUCAGGUCACGUUAUUUACGUCGCGUGAUUCACGUGACGUUAUGCACGUCACGUUCUGUUAGGCACUGUCACGUUCUGUUAGGCACUAUACGGAAAAGAAGAAGAAGAAUUGGCAAUUAAUAUUGAACGUUGACAGAAGAAGAAUUGACAGUUGCCAUCUGUGUCGCCACCGCUUUCAUUUGAUAUCCCAUACGUCAAAAUCGGAUCAUUAGCCAAGAAGAUAUGUUGUAAUGCCGUUUUGGCAAUGUCAAUUAGUUACGUGUUGCAGCCGACAGGUGGCAUGAUAAGAUGAAGAACUGUGAUAGGAUGUUUGAUGGUCGUACUGUAAGAAUGGUAUACGUUCUUCUAGAGGGCUUGGGCAUAGUUACAUGUUGCAGCCGACAGGUGGCAUGAUAAGAUGAAGAACUGUGAUAGGACUAAUAUAUCACCGUUUUGGCAGUGUUGCCAUGUUUCUCCUUUCCUUCAACGUCUGUUGCGUUAAAAUCAAUAGCAACGAAGAUAUAGUGCUGUUUUGUCAUUGCUGACAUCUUUGUUUUUAUGGUAACAUAUUCAAUAUCCCCUCUUUUUCCCAACGAGACCAUAUUCACACGAAUUGGACCACUAGACACGAAGAUAUGAUAUAGGGCCGUUUUGUCAUUGCUGACAUCUUUGUUUAUAUGGUAACAUGCCUUCCUCUUUCCAACAAUAUAUAAUCAGUCAGGUCGGAGACAUGCUACAAUGCUCUUUUGCUAAUGUCUUUGUGAUUGCUGCUCUUUUGCUAAUGUCUUACAUGUAAUAAACGAACCAAUAACAGCGCAGAUGGCAGAUAGGUGCUUCAUGGAUAAGUGUCUUAUUUGGCUUUCUGACUACACCCUGUAUAUUUUGCGAUAAACGAAAUAAAGAGGAGGCCAUCUUGGAAGGCGAGGGUUUGUGACGUAGGUGGGCCUGGCUGUGUUCCCAUUGGUCGGUGCCUGAUC
rnacentral:misc_RNA from 1 species